rfam:Paenibacillus sp. 1DrF-4 C1295, whole genome shotgun sequence.
GAAAAGGCUAUGAUGAGAAAUAGUAGCUAAUAGGGAUCUCACAGAGAGAAGAUGGUUGGUGCGAAUCUUCAUUGAACUAAUAGUGAAGCAGUCUCGGAGCUGUGAACCGAACAGAGGAAUCUUAGUAGGCUUCAACGGAGUUCCACCGUUAUUCAGGAAACAAUAUCGGAGAUAUCCCGUAUUGAUAGAGUGCAGAGAAAUCUGAAAUUAGGUGGUAACACGGACAUUAUAGUUCGCCCUAAGU